GUGCGUGUAGCUCAGCUGGAUAGAGCGUCUGGCUACGGACCAGAAGGUCGAGGGUUCGAAUCCUUUCACGCACA
rnacentral:tRNA from 1 species